GCCAUUUUAUAAAACUCUCCACCCCUGAAAUCCCCAACUUUCGCCCCUAAAAUCCCUAAUUUCCCACAUCCAAGAAAAGAAACCCAAAAGCUUAUUCAACUCAGUUUCUUCCCAACUGAAGCCAAGCCAGUUCUUAUUUGUUCUUCGUCUUAAAACUCUCAAAUGGAUAAAAGGGGUCCAAAAUCAAAGAACCCAGAACCAGGAAACCAAGGAAACGAUGAGAAAAAGAGCAAAAAGGGAUUGCGACUAUUAGCUCGAGUUAAACCAUCUGAGAUUUUCUUGAAAUCUAUAACCAAGGAUGUUACCAAUGUUCAGAUUACAUACCCUUGCAGGUUAUACGGGUACUGUCCUCCUGAAAAACGGUAAACUAUCGGACAUAUUAGGCUAAUUGCAGGUUAGUUUUGAUCGUUUUGUUUGUUUUGAUUUGCUAGUUUCCCCCUGCCGUAUGAUUCAAAUAUUUGUCCUUUGGAUUUUGUGUUGAUUGACUAGGUUUCUACUUUUCAUUCUUUUUCGUCUAUUAAUUUUAGCUUUUAACUCCUUUUUUCCUGAUUUUCUUAAUUAUAAACGGCAAGGAGUUGCCAAUUUUUAAACCAAAGUGGUGUAUCCAUAGCCACUGCUCAUGGAAUAGCUAAGAAUAUAUUAUUUAUAACUACUCCUUAUAUUUACAUACAAGUGCUCACAGGAUUCACACCCCAGAUUGAAAUUAGCUAAUGGCGAGGGGUAUUAACCCUUUUUUUAAUGAUAUAAUAAUAUAAUACACAUACACCCCUCGGGAGGUUUACAACCUCUAAAGGUGUCAAGGGUUCAUGAACCCUCGGGGGUUACACCUCUUUUUUUGCUCUGGUUUUUCUUUUAUAUGUAAUAUGUAUACAUGCAUAAAAUUGCCCUCGGGGGCAAUACUUAUACUUGGUUUUAAUAUGCAUAAAAUUGCCAAGGGGUUAAACCGUUCGGGGGCCAUGCUUAUACUUUUUUUUAAUAUAAAAUACAAAUAUGCGAUGGGACACGUAUAUUUUUAGCAAAAUGGGCGAGGGGUUGGGUGAGGAGUUUGGGGAGGUGCUAACUAUCAAACUAAAAAUAUAUAUUAUAUAUUUAACGCCGCCAAACACAUAUAAAUAUAUAUUUUUACUACUCAAUCAAUCUAAAACGUAUAAAUAUCUAGAUGGUGAGGGAUUAACAGGGUGUCAAUUGCCAAUUAAAAAUAUAUUAUAUCCAUGCAAUGGACGAAGGGAUAGUGUCCUGGCGGUAUUUUCUUAAUUAUAUUUGCUUCAAUAGUAGUUCUUUUAGGCGCAUAUAUGUGAAACCAGUUUAUAAUUGCAUUAACGGGAUUAGAUGAACCAUUUUCUAAGAGGAUUUGCUUUGGUUGUAUUAGUAAUACAGAGACCUCGCAGGUAAUUUAACCAAAUAAUUUUGCAACUGAAUUGAUGCACAAGCGUUAGGAUUUUUAAGGGAAGUGAGAAGCUCCUUCAGCUAGUCUCAAAUUACUCCAUGGUUUCAAACUUGAAGGAGAAUGAAUCUGAAGUAUGGAACCAAGGAUUCUUCAUGUCACCAAUAGGUAAGCUCAUAUAUACAACCUUGAAAACAAUGGACAUAACAUGGGCAUGUUCGGUUCUUCCAACUAUGGGUACUUCAAUGAUGCUUUUAUGGUUUGGCAGCUUCACAUGCAUUAAUAUUUUUUUUAGGCAUAAUUUGGAAAUAACCCAUCAUUUCUUUUCUUGGAAAACUGGAAAAAAAAGAAGAAACAAAUUCAUAAUUUUGUAUGUUUUACAUUUAUGUUUUUCGAUAGCUUGUUCUUAUCAAUGGUUUUUUUUUUUUUGGAUGUUAACUUUCAAGAAAAAUCAAUUAUUUGGUUUUUCCUGCUUCAUGUCUCGUUUUUGUUUGAGAGGAGUUAACGAAAUCGAAAAUACCCUAUAAAUUGUAUUUUAUAAAUAUUCUUAACCAUUAUUGAUUGUCUGGUCUCUUUGCUGUAAUCUAUGAUGUUAGGGCCUUCACUAAUUUUCUAUUUGCCUAUUAAUGUGCACGAGCUGCGACAAUAUAUUUUUUGAUGCAUUUAGUUGGUUUGCAGUCUAUGGUUAUAUAGUAGAAGAGAUAAGCAUAGAGAAAUGGUCGAUCACCCACACUAAUUUCCUAUCCUGAACAGUCUUCUUCAUCUGUUAGUAGCCAUUGUUUUGACAAUCAUGGUAUAAGAGGAUCACCCACAUCAACAGUCAUUGGACCUUCCAAGCAUCGGCAUUCAACUCUUGGGGAUCCCAAUUUUGUGGAGAAUUACUUCAAGAGUGGGAAAGACAUCUUUAAUGAAUCAGUAUCCUUUAUUUUGAGAUACAUGCUUUGUUUUAGCACAUUAUAUUUGAUAGUUAGUUGCAUUGAAAGACACACAAUGACAAUUACUAAUUUGUUAAGAAAGAUGUGAUUACUUUGCAAAAUUCAAUUGUUUAAAUUAUUUUCAUAGCCUACUUUGAUUGCUGUUAUUUGUGGGAAAAUUAGUCUACAUUCUUUAAGCUGAUCUUAAACUGCUUCCUACAUUGUUUUAGCCUUGGGAAGAAAGUUUGCGGGAUGCACACGAGUUUGGAAAACUUGGGAAGAAAGUUUGGAAUGCCUUCAAUGAAACUUGCAGAGCAAAGAUGGUGCAGCAGACUGCAUUGUAUUUUUUAUUACCGUGCAAUGUGUAUAGUCAUAGGCAGGUUUAACUAGUCAGUCUGUUUCUCAUAUGUAUUAUUUAUUUUAGUUUUGAUUCUAAAUUUUUAUUUUUACUUUAAUAUUUACAACAACUUGAGUUCUAACUUUUGGAUUUUAAUUGUGUUAUUAAUUUAUUAUUUUAAAUUCUAAAACUAAAUUCAUUAA